AUUCCCUUAGUAACUGCGAGUGAAGUGGGAAAAGCUCAAAUUUAAAAUCUGGUAGUCUUUUGGCUAUCCGAGUUGUAAUCUAGAGAAGUGUUAUCCGCGCUGGACCAUGUAUAAGUCUCCUGGAAUGGAGCCUCAUAGAGGGUGAGAAUCCCGUCUUUGAUAUGGAUUACCAGGGCUAUGUGAUGCGCUCUCAAAGAGUCGAGUUGUUUGGGAAUGCAGCUCUAAAUGGGUGGUAAAUUUCAUCUAAAGCUAAAUAUUGGCGAGAGACCGAUAGUGAACAAGUACCGUGAGGGAAAGAUGAAAAGAACUUUGGAAAGAGAGUUAAACAGUACGUGAAAUUGUUGAAAGGGAAACGCUUGAAGUCAGCCAUGUUGUCUAGGGAUCAACCUUGUCUUAUGCUUGGUGUACUCUCUAGUUCAACGGGUCAGCAUCAAUUUUAGCCAAUGGAAAAAGACUGAGGGAAUGUGACAUCCUUGGAUGUGUUAUAGCCCUUAGUUGUAUACAUUGGUUGGGAUUGAGGAAUUCAGCACGCCGCAAAGGUUUUUGUGCUUAGGAUGCUGGCAUAAUGGCUUCAAUCGACCCGUCUUGAAACACGGACCAAGGAGUCUAACAUGCCUGCAAGUGUUUGGGUGGAAAACUCAUACGCGUAAUGAAAGUGAAAGUUAAGAUCCCUUGUUAAUGGGGGGGAGCAUUGACGCCCAGACCUGACCUUUUGUGAAGGAUCUGCGGUAGAGCAUGUAUGUUGGGACCCCGAAA
rnacentral:rRNA from 1 species